GACGGGGGGUCCAAGCGUUGUUCGGAAUCAUUGGGCGUAAAGCGUGUGCAGGUGGCUCUGUAAGUUGGAUGUGAAAGCCCCGGGCUCAACUCGGGAAGUGCAUUCAAAACUACAAAGCUUGAGUAAGGAAGAGGGUCGUGGAAUUCCAGGUGUAGUGGUGAAAUACGUAGAUAUCUGGAGGAACACCGGUGGCGAAGGCGAGUCUCUGGACAUUUCCUGACGCUGAGGCACGAAAGCCAGGGGAGCAAACGGG
rnacentral:rRNA from 1 species